AGCGAACGCUGGCGGCAGGCCUAACACAUGCAAGUCGAACGAACCCUUCGGGGUUAGUGGCGGACGGGUGAGUAACACGUGGGAACGUGCCUUUAGGUUCGGAAUAACUCAGGGAAACGUGUGCUAAUACCGAAUGUGCCCUUCGGGGGAAAGAUUUAUCACCUUUAGAGCGGCCCGCGUCUGAUUAGCUAGUUGGUGAGGUAAUGGCUCACCAAGGCUACGAUCAGUAGCUGGUCUGAGAGGAUGACCAGCCACAUUGGGACUGAGACACGGACCAAACUCCUACGGGAGGCAGCAGUGGGGAAUCUUGCGCAAUGGGCGAAAGCCUGACGCAGCCAUGCCGCGUGGAUGAUGAAGGUCUUAGGAUUGUAAAAUCCUUUCACCGGUGAAGAUAAUGACUGUAGCCGGAGAAGAAGCCCCGGCUAACUUCGUGCCAGCCGCCGCCGUAAGAC
rnacentral:rRNA from 1 species